AUUGCUUCUCUGCCUGUUGGCUAAGAUCAAGUGUAGUAUCUGUUCUGAGCAGUUCAAAGCAGCUGUACUAUUUUGUAUUCCUGCCAGCUAUGAACUAGAGCUUCUGUUGCUCCACAUUCUUGUCAGAAUCUGGUAUUGUCAUUUUGGGGAAUUUCAA
rnacentral:snRNA from 1 species